GUGUGUGUGUGUGUGUGUAUGUGUGUGUGUGAGGCUGCUCUGGUCAGUGUUGUGUUGGUCUUGACCGUGUGUCAGUCAGGAGGACACGAUCGGAGACCUGAAGAAGCUGAUCGCAGCGCAGACCGGGACACGGUGGGACAAGAUCGUGCUCAAGAAAUGGUACACCAUAUUCAAAGACCACGUGUCACUGGGAGACUAUGAAAUCCACGACGGCAUGAACCUCGAGCUCUAUUACCAGUAGCACACACACACUACAUCACACACAC